rnacentral:rRNA from 1 species
AUUGAACGCUGGCGGCAUGCCUUACACAUGCCAGUCGAACGGCAGCACGGGUGCUUGCACCUGGUGGCGAGUGGCGAACGGGUGAGUAAUACAUCGGAACAUGUCCUGUAGUGGGGGAUAGCCCGGCGAAAGCCGGAUUAAUACCGCAUACGAUCUACGGGGGAAAGCGGGGGCCCUUCGGGCCUCGCGCUAUAGGGGUGGCCGAUGGCUGAUUAGCUAGUUGGUGGGGUAAAGGCCUACCAAGGCGACGAUCAGUAGCUGGUCUGAGAGGACGACCAGCCACGCUGGGACUGAGACACGGCCCAGACUCCUACGGGAGGCAGCAGUGGGGAAUUUUGGACAAUGGGCGAAAGCCUGAUCCAGCAAUGCCGCGUGUGUGAAGAAGGCCUUCGGGUUGUAAAGCACUUUUGUCCGGAAAGAAAUCCUUGGCCCUAAUACGGUCGGGGGAUGACGGUACCGGAAGAAUAAGCACCGGCUAACUACGUG